rnacentral:rRNA from 1 species
UUGAACGCUGGCGGCAUGCCUUACACCUGCAAGUCGAACGGCAGCACGGGUGCUUGCCCCUGGUGGCGAGUGGCGAACGGGUGAGUAAUACAUCGGAACAUGUCCUGUAGUGGGGGAUAGCCCGGCGAAAGCCGGAUUAAUACCGCAUACGAUCUACGGAUGAAAGCGGGGGACCUUCGGGCCUCGCGCUAUAGGGUUGGCCGAUGGCUGAUUAGCUAGUUGGUGGGGUAAAGGCCUACCAAGGCGACGAUCAGUAGCUGGUCUGAGAGGACGACCAGCCACACUGGGACUGAGACACGGCCCAGACUCCUACGGGAGGCAGCAGUGGGGAAUUUUGGACAAUGGGCGAAAGCCUGAUCCAGCAAUGCCGCGUGUGUGAAGAAGGCCUUCGGGUUGUAAAGCACUUUUGUCCGGAAAGAAAUCCUUGGCCCUAAUACGGUCGGGGGAUGACGGUACCGGAAGAAUAUGCACCGGCUAACUACGUG